CAAUAGCGUAUAUUUAAGUUGUUGCAGUUAAAAAGCUCGUAGUUGGAUUUCGGAUGGGAUUUGCCGGUCCGUCGUUACGAUGUGCACUGGCCAGUCCUAUCUUGUUGUCGGGGACUAGCUCCUUGGAUUCACUUCCUGGGACUAGGAGCUGACGAGGUUACUUUGAGUAAAUUAGAGUGUUCAAAGCAAGCCUACGCUCUGAAUACAUUAGCAUGGAAUAACACGAUAGGACUCUGGCUUAUCUUGUUGGUCUGUGAGACCAGAGUAAUGAUUAAGAGGGACAGUCGGGGACAUUCGUAUUUCAUUGUCAGAGGUGAAAUUCUUGGAUUUAUGAAAGACGAACUUCUGCGAAAGCAUUUGUCAAGGAUGUUUUCAUUGA
rnacentral:rRNA from 1 species